GUUUUCAGUGCGAUGACACCAGCGUGCCUGCGGAAGUGGCUGUGUCUCCUCUUGCCUCCUUCCCCACCCAAUUCCGCCCCAGGAGCCCAGGGAUGGAGGCCCAGGAGACGGAUCCCACAAGAGCCAGCACCCACUCCACCCCAGGAGCUCAGCAAACAUCCACAGAGUGAACAUUCCAAGCAACAUAGUCCAGGAGCCACGUUCCAGCCAUGGGGCCUCUGCACUGCUGUUCUCUUCACAUGGCCUGCCCUUCCCCCAGAAAGAGAGAAGAGGCCCUCUCUGGUUGUCCCAUCAAAACUCCACCCUUCUCUCACCCUCCUCCCAGCUGUAUCCCUUCUCUGCAGCCCUAACAUGCAUUCCACUUUAUUUCCCUUGUCUACUGUCUGCCUCUCUAACUACUAAGUCAGUUCCAGCCGCUCCAGGAUUUUUGUCUUUUCAGUUUAGCCCUGGUUCCUCAGGGCCUUAGUGACUAGUGUGUAGUGCCUAGCAGCCAGUAGAUGCUCAAUAACUGCUUGCUGAUUGACUGGGGUGAGCUCCCCAUCCAUGGAGCUAUUUCAAGCCAAG
rnacentral:lncRNA from 1 species